UGCACAUAUGGCGCAUGCUUAGUGGUGA
rnacentral:sRNA from 1 species